GACGAACGCUGGCGGCGUGCCUAAUACAUGCAAGUCGAACGCAUUCUCAUUCACCGUUGCUUGCUACACCGAACGAAAAUGGGUGGCGAACGGGUGAGUAACACGUCGGUAACUUGCCCAUCAGCGGGGGAUAACACCUGGCAACAGGUGCUAAUACCGCAUACUUCUAUUUGCCGCAGGGCAGCUGGAUGAAAGGCGCUUUUGCGUCACUUAUCGAUGGAGCCGCGGUGCGUUAGCAAGUUGGACGGGUAACGGCCUACCAAGGCUGCGAUGCAUAGCCGACCUUGGGGGGUGAUCGGCCACACCGGGACCGGGACACGGCCCAGACCCCUACGGGGAGCAGCAGCUGGGAAACUUCGGACAAUGACACAAGGCUGACCGAGCAACGCCGGGUGGGGGAAGAAGGUUCUCGGGUCGGAAAACUCCGUUUUUAGAGAAGAACAAGGAUGAGAGUGGAAAGUUCAUCCCUUGACGGUACCUAACCAGAAAGCCACGGCUAACUACGUG
rnacentral:rRNA from 1 species